rnacentral:rRNA from 1 species
GAUCAUGGCUCAGGAUGAACGCUGGCGGCGUGCUUAACACAUGCAAGUCGAACGAAGAAGGUUAGAGUGAGAGCUUCGGCAGGAUUUCUUUCCAUCUUAGUGGCGGACGGGUGAGUAACGUGUGGGCAACCUGCCCUGUACUGGGGAAUAAUCAUUGGAAACGAUGACUAAUACCGCAUGUGGUCCUCGGAAGGCAUCUUCUGAGGAAGAAAGGAUUUAUUCGGUACAGGAUGGGCCCG